UACGUAGGGUGCAAGCGUUAAUCGGAAUUACUGGGCGUAAAGCGUACGCAGGCGGCUUUGCAAGACAGGUGUGAAAUCCCCGGGCUUAACCUGGGAACUGCAUUUGUGACUGCAUCGCUGGAGUGCGGCAGAGGGGGAUGGAAUUCCGCGUGUAGCAGUGAAAUGCGUAGAUAUGCGGAGGAACACCGAUGGCGAAGGCAAUCCCCUGGGCCUGCACUGACGCUCAUGCACGAAAGCGUGGGGAGCAAACAGG
rnacentral:rRNA from 1 species